rnacentral:lncRNA from 1 species
AUUCUAAGUCUGACUUCCCUAAUGCUCAGAAGAUGGCUAUGUUGAGUCCACAAACUUUUGAAUUCAGAAACAAGAUUGAGUUGAUUUCAGAAGCUCUCCCAGAAGAUCAAGAAAGAACUUUCCAGGAUCUCCAGGAACCUGAAUUGAGUCAUACGCCAAAGAAAGUAGCUUAGAAGUGACCAAUAUGUCAAGGUCCCAUGAGAAGACUGAAAAAAAGAGAAGAAAGAGGAAAGAAAAGAAUGACAAGAAAGAGAAAGAAAGAAACCAAUAUGCUCUUUGUUCUUUGCUUUUGCUUCCUCAAGCUUUUCUCUGUCUACAAAGCCAACCUCUCCUGCUCAGCUCAUCAGAACAUUCACUCC